UACGUAGGCAGCGAGCGUUGUUCGGAGUUACUGGGCGUAAAGGGUGUGUAGGCGGUUUGUCGCGUCGGGAGUGAAAUCCACUGGCUUAACUGGUGGCUUGCUUUCGAUACGGGCAGACUGGAGGUAUGCAGGGGAGAACGGAAUUCCUGGUGUAGCGGUGAAAUGCGCAGAUAUCAGGAGGAACACCGGUGGCGAAGGCGGUUCUCUGGGCAUGUCCUGACGCUGGAGGAGCGAAAGUGUGGGGAGCGAACAGG
rnacentral:rRNA from 1 species